GUCUCUCUUGAGUGGAUCCUGAGUACGACGGAGCACGUGAAAUUCCGUCGGAAUCUGGGAGGACCAUCUCCUAAGGCUAAAUACUCUCUAGUGACCGAUAGUGAACCAGUACCGUGAGGGAAAGGUGAAAAGCACCCCGGAAGGGGAGUGAAAUAGAACCUGAAACCGUGUGCUUACAAGUAGUCAGAGCCCGUUAAUGGGUGAUGGCGUGCCUUUUGUAGAAUGAACCGGCGAGUUACGAUUUGAUGCAAGGUUAAGCAGUAAAUGUGGAGCCGUAGCGAAAGCGAGUCUGAAUAGGGCGUUUAGUAUUUGGUCGUAGACCCGAAACCAGGUGAUCUACCCUUGGUCAGGUUGAAGUUCAGGUAACACUGAAUGGAGGACCGAACCGACUUACGUUGAAAAGUGAGCGGAUGAACUGAGGGUAGCGGAGAAAUUCCAAUCGAACCUGGAGAUAGCUGGUUCUCUCCGAAAUAGCUUUAGGGCUAGCCUCAAGUGAUGAUUAUUGGAGGUAGAGCACUGUUUGGACGAGGGGCCCCUCUCGGGUUACCGAAUUCAGACAAACUCCGAAUGCCAAUUAAUUUAACUUGGGAGUCAGAACAUGGGUGAUAAGGUCCGUGUUCGAAAGGGAAACAGCCCAGACCACCAGCUAAGGUCCCAAAAUAUAUGUUAAGUGGAAAAGGAUGUGGCGUUGCCCAGACAACUAGGAUGUUGGCUUAGAAGCAGCCAUCAUUUAAAGAGUGCGUAAUAGCUCACUAGUCGAGUGACACUGCGCCGAAAAUGUACCGGGGCUAAACAUAUUACCGAAGCUGUGGAUUGUCCUUUGGACAAUGGUAGGAGAGCGUUCUAAGGGCGUUGAAGCAUGAUCGUAAGGACAUGUGGAGCGCUUAGAAGUGAGAAUGCCGGUGUGAGUAGCGAAAGACGGGUGAGAAUCCCGUCCACCGAUUGACUAAGGUUUCCAGAGGAAGGCUCGUCCGCUCUGGGUUAGUCGGGUCCUAAGCUGAGGCCGACAGGCGUAGGCGAUGGAUAACAGGUUGAUAUUCCUGUACCACCUAUAAUCGUUUUAAUCGAUGGGGGGACGCAGUAGGAUAGGCGAAGCGUGCGAUUGGAUUGCACGUCUAAGCAGUAAGGCUGAGUAUUAGGCAAAUCCGGUACUCGUUAAGGCUGAGCUGUGAUGGGGAGAAGACAUUGAGUCUUCGAGUCGUUGAUUUCACACUGCCGAGAAAAACCUCUAGAUAGAAAAUAGGUGCCCGUACCGCAAACCGACACAGGUAGUCAAGAUGAGAAUUCUAAGGUGAGCGAGCGAACUCUCGUUAAGGAACUCGGCAAAAUGACCCCGUAACUUCGGGAGAAGGGGUGCUCUUUAGGGUUGACGCCCAGAAGAGCCGCAGUGAAUAGGCCCAAGCGACUGUUUAUCAAAAACACAGGUCUCUGCUAAACCGUAAGGUGAUGUAUAGGGGCUGACGCCUGCCCGGUGCUGGAAGGUUAAGAGGAGUGGUUAGCUUCUGCGAAGCUACGAAUCGAAGCCCCAGUAAACGGCGGCCGUAACUAUAACGGUCCUAAGGUAGCGAAAUUCCUUGUCGGGUAAGUUCCGACCCGCACGAAAGGCGUAACGAUUUGGGCACUGUCUCAACGAGAGACUCGGUGAAAUCAUAGUACCUGUGAAGAUGCAGGUUACCCGCGACAGGACGGAAAGACCCCGUGGAGCUUUACUGUAGCCUGAUAUUGAAAUUCGGCACAGCUUGUACAGGAUAGGUAGGAGCCUUUGAAAC
rnacentral:rRNA from 1 species